rnacentral:rRNA from 1 species
CUCGAUAAUCCACGAAUAUCUUACCCUUUCUAGAUUAACAGCUUGUGUACUGCCGUCGUAAGCAUACCUCUAAAAGUCUAAAGUAUACAAAUAUGACUUAUCCCACAUACGUCAGGUCAAAGUGCAGCUAAUGAAAGGGUGAUGAUGGGUUACACCCUAAAUAAAGAUACAAAUUAGGGCACUAAAAGCUCUCUGAAGGUGGACUUGGAUGUAACCUUAAUACAAUAUUAUAAUGAAAUUGAAUCUAAGACAUGCACAUAUCGCCCGUCACUCUCGCCCAAAGGCGAGAUAAGUCGUAACAAAGUAGGUGUAACGGAAGUUGCACCUGU